UACAGAGGUCCCAAGCGUUGUUCGGAUUCACUGGGCGUAAAGGGUGCGUAGGUGGCAUGGUAAGUCGGAUGUGAAAUCUCCGAGCUCAACUCGGAAAUGGCAUUGGAAACUGCCGUGCUCGAGGGUUGGAGGGGGGACUGGAAUGCUUGGUGUAGCAGUGAAAUGCGUAGAUAUCAAGCGGAACACCAGUGGCGAAGGCGAGUCCCUGGACAACUCCUGACACUGAGGCACGAAAGCUAGGGGAG
rnacentral:rRNA from 1 species